rnacentral:lncRNA from 1 species
GGGCAGAGUUCCUUCUGCAGUGGCGCUACCGUCCGUGCUGCCCUCCUGGAAACACCGGGGUUUGGGGCAGGAACACUUCACCUGAAAGCAGGCCUGCUUGGCGCCUCCCGGCACAUCUGUGGUCUCCUCUGCACGUCGCUCGCGCAGCCUCCUUGCCUGGAAUGUCCUUCGCUGCCCAUCCUCAUAGGCCCACCUGGGAGAGAUCAUAUCCAUGCCCCCUGCCCCAGGGAGGCGGGGCCAGCAUCUUGACUGACAGCAUCCUUGAGGCCUUGCAUGGUGGAAGGUUUGGAAUGCCUCCCCCUCUCCCCUACUGGGGGAUCAACCCAAAUCUUGAGGCCACAUAGACACUGGGCUCUGGAUGGACAGAAGCAGGCGCAGAGAGAAAAGCUCAGCUAGGGGUGGGAGAACCCGGGAGGAGAGGUAACCCCAAGAGGGAAGGGUGCCUCUUCCACUACCUCUGCUACCAGCCAUCCCCAGGACAGUGGUUCCUCCCCACCCCGCCCAGCCCUGAGGACUACUGGUUGGGGAUUGCCUCCGGAGCCCAGCUUAGGGAGGACAGUAGACAGUAGGCUUUGGAGUUGGGAGACAGGGUUCCGCUUCUGCUGGUGUGACUGGAGGCCU